UAUGGUACGAACCUUCUUUUG
rnacentral:piRNA from 1 species